CAGGUAUCAGUGGUAAAACUGGGAGGAGGGCCCUAUGGGUUAAACUGGUAUCAGUGGUACAACUGGGAGGUGGGCCCUAUGGGUUAAACAGGUAUCAGUGGUACAACUGGGAGGAGGGCCCUAUGGGUUAAACAGGUAUCAGUGGUACAACUGGGAGGAGGGCCCUAUGGGUUAAACAGGUAUCAGUGGUACAUCUGGGAGGUGGGCCCUAUGGGUUAAACAGGUAUCAGUGGUACAUCUGGGAGGUGGGCCCUAUGGGUUAAACAGGUAUCAGUGGUACAUCUGGGAGGAGGGCCCUAU
ensembl:lncRNA